rnacentral:rRNA from 1 species
CAGCCGCCGCGGUAAUACGAAGGGUGCAAGCGUUAAUCGGAAUUACUGGGCGUAAAGCGUGCGUAGGCGGUUUGUUAAGUCUGCUGUGAAAUCCCCGGGCUCAACCUGGGAAUGGCAGUGGAUACUGCAAGCUAGAGUGUGUCAGAGGAUGGUGGAAUUCCCGGUGUAGCGGUGAAAUGCGUAGAGAUCGGGAGGAACAUCAGUGGCGAAGGCGGCCAUCUGGGACAACACUGACGCUGAGGCACGAAAGCGUGGGGAGCAAACAGGAUUAGAUACCCGCGUAGUCCCUGUCUCUUAUACA